rnacentral:lncRNA from 1 species
CAGGUGGCGCUUCCCGGGUCGGGGUGGCGACAGCGCCAACUCAAGUGGAGACUCACCAUCAGGAGUGUGAAGUUCUUUAGGUCGGGGACCGACUCCCCGCAGGGAACGAACAUGACUGCAGUGGGCGUAAGAGAAGCUGGAGCGCUGUCCGGGACAGCUAGGAUACCUAUCCUUAGGAUAGAAGGCGGAACUCGCGAUCCGCCCGGGUCCUUCGGGUCCUUCGGGUCCUGUAGGCGUCCGACGCACUGCCUGCGCUCAGUGCUGAACGAGGCUCGAACGCUCGGCAGGCGGCGUUCCCCGGGGUCGUAGGUCGAGGCCCUGCGACAGAGGACGUGGGAACCGCGCGUGCGGGACCCGCGAGGAGGCGGCGCGUUGGACCGCGUCGAUCAGGCAGCUGGCAGGCCAGCCCCGGCGACUGUCAGUCCGCCCGGUUUGAAGACAGUUAGUUGUGGCGCCGCGGCUGCAGGGUUCCCGCCCUGCCAGGUCUGACGCGGCCGC